GUGAAAAGAACCCCGGGAGGGGAGUGAAAUAGAACCUGAAACCGUGUGCCUACAACCGGUCAAAGCCCCUUAUGAGGGUGAUGACGUGCUUUUUGUAGAACGAGCCAACGAGUUACGGUAUGUAGCAAGGUUAAGUACUUAAGGUACGGAGCCGAAGGGAAACCGAGUCUUAAUAGGGCGACUAGUUGCAUGCCGUAGACCCGAAACCGGGUGACCUAUCCAUGGCCAGGUUGAAGCGAGGGUAAAACCUCGUGGAGGACCGAACCACGUUGCUGUUGAAAAAGCAUGGGAUGAGCUGUGGAUAGCGGAGAAAUUCCAAUCGAACUCGGAGAUAGCUGGUUCUCCCCGAAAUAGCUUUAGGGCUAGCGUCGGAUAUGUGUAGUGGAGGUAGAGCACUGAAUGGGCUAGGGGGCAUAUCGCUUACCGAACCUUAUCAAACUCCGAAUGCCAUAUACAUUUAGUCCGGCAGUCAGACUACGAAUGAUAAGAUCCGUGGUCAAAAGGGAAACAGCCCAGAUCGUCAGCUAAGGUCCCAAAGUGUAAGUUAAGUGGAAAAGGAUGUGGGAUUUCUAAGACAACUAGGAUGUUGGCUUAGAAGCAGCCACUCAUUUAAAGAGUGCGUAAUAGCUCACUAGUCGAGAGAUCCUGCGCCGAAAAUGUCCGGGGCUAAAACUUACCACCGAAGCUACGGGCUUGCGUAAGCAAGCGGUAGGGGAGCGUCGUAAUCGGGCUGAAGUCGUACCGUAAGGAGCGGUGGACUGAUUACGAGUGAGAAUGUUGGCAUUAGUAGCGAGAUGUAGGUGAGAAUCCUACAGGCCGAAUAUCUAAGGUUUCCUCAGGAAGGCUCGUCCGCUGAGGGUUAGUCGGGACCUAAGCCGAGGCCGAAAGGCGUAGGCGAUGGACAACAGGUUGAUAUUCCUGUACCACUACCAUCGUUAUUAUCGAGGGUGUGACGGAGAAGGAUAGUGUGUGCUAGCGAUUGGAAAUGCUAGUCUAAGCGUUUAGGCAGUUACGGUAGGCAAAUCCGCUGUAACGUUAAUGCUGAGGCGUGAUGGGGAAGGCCCUUGAGGCUGAAGUACAUGAUUCCAUGCUUCCAAGAAAAGCAUCUAGAGAGAGAAGUAGUGCCCGUACCGCAAACCGACACAGGUAGAUGAGGAGAGAAUCCUAAGGCCGGCGGAAGAAUUGCAGUUAAGGAACUAGGCAAAUUGACCCCGUAAGUUAGCGAGAAGGGGUGCCUGCGAGAGCGAGCCGCAGAGAAUAGGCCCAAGCAACUGUUUAGCAAAAACACAGGUCUCUGCUAAAGCGCAAGCUGAUGUAUAGGGGCUGACGCCUGCCCGGUGCUGGAAGGUUAAGGGGAACACUUAGCGCAAGCGAAGGUGUGAACUUAAGCCCCAGUAAACGGCGGCCGUAACUAUAACGGUCCUAAGGUAGCGAAAUUCCUUGUCAGGUAAGUUCUGACCCGCACGAAUGGCGUAAUGACUUGGGCACUGUCUCAACUGCAAAUCCGGCGAAGUUGUAGUGCGAGUGAAGAUGCUCGCUACCCGCGAUUGGACGGAAAGACCCCGUAGAGCUUUACUGUAGCUUAGCAUUGAAUUCCGGUAUUGUCUGUACAGGAUAGGUGGGAGACUGGGAAACUAGGGCGUCAGCCUUAGUGGAGUCGUCCUUGGGAUACCACCCUGACAGUACUGGGGUUCUAACAGGACGCCAUGAAUCUGGUGACUGGACAUUGUUAGGUGGGCAGUUUGACUGGGGCGGUCGCCUCCUAAAAAGUAACGGAGGCGCCCAAAGGUUCCCUCAGAACGGUCGGAAAUCGUUCGUAGAGUGCAAAGGCAGAAGGGAGCCUGACUGCGAGACCUACAAGUCGAGCAGGGACGAAAGUCGGGCU
rnacentral:rRNA from 1 species